GAUGAACGCUGGCGGCGUGCUUAACACAUGCAAGUCGAACGGUGAAGCAGAGCUUGCUCUGUGGAUCAGUGGCGAACGGGUGAGUAACACGUGAGCAACCUGCCCCUGACUCUCUGAUAAGCGCUGGAAACGGCGUCUAAUACUGGAUAUGAGCUGCGACCGCAUGGUCAGCAGUUGGAAAGAUUUUUCGGUCUGGGAUGGGCUCACGGCCUAUCAGCUUGUUGGUGAGGUAAUGGCUCACCAAGGCGUCGACGGGUAGCCGGCCUGAGAGGGUGACCGGCCACACUGGGACUGAGACACGGCCCAGACUCCUACGGGAGGCAGCAGUGGGGAAUAUUGCACAAUGGGCGAAAGCCUGAUGCAGCAACGCCGCGUGAGGGAUGACGGCCUUCGGGUUGUAAACCUCUUUUAGCAGGGAAGAAGCGAAAGUGACGGUACCUGCAGAAAAAGCGCCGGCUAACUACGUG
rnacentral:rRNA from 1 species